rnacentral:lncRNA from 12 species
CACACUACUUUUAUAACAAACAUUAAGGCUAUCCCAUUUGAAAGAUAAAUAUAUGGGAAAACAUUUUUAAUAAAAAAAAGUAAUAGCAAUUAAUAUCAAACAUAUUUUUGCAUGUUUUUGUGAGUUCUAGAACAAGAAAGAAGAAAGUUUCCAAGUUCUGGCACUCUGGCCAGGCCCGGGUGCAUCUGAGAGAAAGCUCUCCGGCAGAGCUGCAGGUGCCAUAGUGGGAUGGUGUGGCUGUAUCACGAUGGUGACUGGCUAAGGCACGUGAGUAGGACGCUGGUAAUGUCUGCUGCAGGGCCUGAGCUAAAGCAGCUAGGGUGAGAAUCGGGACUUGAAGUUGCUUUCAGUUUGAUAUACUCCGAACCAGCAAACCAGCAGUGCAGAGGACGUAUGCAAGAUCAGGAUUUAGCCUUGAAGUAAAUAGAUUUAGAGAGUAUACGGCGGCCAUUGAAACCUUCCGCAGAAGAACAGAAACAGCCUGCUCUGUCAGUGCCCUUCUGGUAUACUUUAAUCAAAAGGCUUUGAAAUUAGAAAAAAAAUCCAUAGACAUUUUGCUUGAGUUGGAAUAUGGUGUGCAGAACACAGAAUGUUAUUUUGACCUAUUGUGGAAUGUCUCAAAACUUUUUCUUUUACUUUGGGCAGCAAGGAGACACUAACACAGAGUGACUUUUUAUUGGCACCAAGGAAUUUGUUUUCCCCUUUUAUGCGCUGGUUGAGCCCUUGGAACAUGCGACUUCAUUUUCCAAUAGAGGUGAACCUUAGGAGUGUAAUUCUUCACCUAGAAUGAAGAAGCUUGGCUUUUCAAUUCAUCUUGUCUACUUAACCUCAUGAUAUAAUUUUUACUUUUUCACUGACUCCACCACAAUGAGCUUGUACUCCUCCAUAAGAAUCCCCAAGGUAUUUGGACGCUUUUCUUGAUGAUUUCUUUUGAACUCGAUGCUUUUUGUUCCUUAAACACCACCUGGAAAGAAGACCCAUGGACUGGGUAUCACUCCUCCCUCCUAUAAGACAGAAUAAUUAUUCCCUGGAAUGAGGGGGCUUUCAUAGAUCAAUAACUGCCUCAGAGCAGGAAAGACAACAAGAAUGUGAGAAACUCAUUAUAAUAUAAAAAUAUUCUAGAUAAAUAAAUGGCAAGUACUAACAUGCUCA